UCUAAUGGACCAGAUGAUUUG
rnacentral:miRNA from 1 species